rnacentral:rRNA from 1 species
AACGAACGCUGGCGGCAGGCUUAACACAUGCAAGUCGAACGCCCCGCAAGGGGAGUGGCAGACGGGUGAGUAACACGUGGGAACGUGCCCUAAGGUUUGGAAUAUUCCCGGGAAACUGGGAGCAAUACCAAAUGUGUCCGCAAGGAGAAAGAUUUAUCGCCUUAGGAUCGGCCCGCGUUGGAUUAGCUAGUUGGUGGGGUAAAAGCCUACCAAGGCGACGAUCCAUAGCUGGUCUGAGAGGACGACCAGCCACACUGGGACUGAGACACGGCCCAGACUCCUACGGGAGGCAGCAGUGGGGAAUCUUGGACAAUGGGCGCAAGCCUGAUCCAGCCAUGCCGCGUGGGUGAAGAAGGCCU